rnacentral:rRNA from 1 species
CUACGGGCUGCAGCAGUGGGGAAUAUUGCACAAUGGGCGCAAGCCUGAUGCAGCCAUGCCGCGUGUAUGAAGAAGGCCUUCGGGUUGUAAAGUACUUUCAGCGGGGAGGAAGGGAGUAAAGUUAAUACCUUUGCUCAUUGACGUUACCCGCAGAAGAAGCACCGGCUAACUCCGUGCCAGUAGCCGCGGUAAUACGGAGGGUGCAAGCGUUAAUCGGAAUUACUGGGCGCAAAGCGCACGCAGGCGGUUUGUUAAGUCAGAUGUGAAAUCCCCGGGCUCAACCUGGGAACUGCAUCUGAUACUGGCAAGCUUGAGUCUCGUAGAGGGGGGUAGAAUUCCAGGUGUAGCGGUGAAAUGCGUAGAGAUCUGGAGGAAUACCGGUGGCGAAGGCGGCCCCCUGGACGAAGACUGACGCUCAGGUGCGAAAGCGUGGGGAGCAAACAGGAUUAGAUACCCCCGUAGUC